rfam:Rhodospirillales bacterium 47_12_T64 BD02T64_scaffold_2136, whole genome shotgun sequence.
ACAUGUUCUCGGGGCGGGGCGGAAAUCCCCACCGGCGGUGAUAGCACAAUUGCUUAAGCCCGCGAGCGCCUCUCAGGUUCGCAUUUGAGAGGGUCAGCAGAUUUGGUGUGAUUCCAAGGCCGACGGUUAUAGUCCGGAUGGUAGAGAACGGAG